rnacentral:rRNA from 1 species
AAUGAACGCUGGCGGCGCGCCUAAUACAUGCAAGUCGAGCGAGAAGACGUAGCAAUACGUUUGUAAAGCGGCGAACGGGUGAGGAAUACAUGGGUAACCUACCCUCGAGUGGGGAAUAACUAGCCGAAAGGUUAGCUAAUACCGCGUACGCUCCUUGGACUUUGGUUCAGGGAGGAAAGCGAUACCGUGGGUAUCGCGCUCUUGGUUGGGCUCAUGUCCUAUCAGCUUGUUGGUGAGGUAACGGCUCACCAAGGCUUCGACGGGUAGCUGGUCUGAGAGGACGAUCAGCCACACUGGCACUGCGACACGGGCCAGACUCCUACGGGAGGCAGCAGUAAGGAAUAUUGCGCAAUGGGCGAAAGCCUGACGCAGCGACGCCGCGUGGGGGAUGAAGGUCUUCGGAUUGU